GGAAGGAGAGCCAAGAUAGUCACGGCAGAAUGUAGAGAAAUGUGGAAGACAAGGAGGAAUGGGCAGACCAGUCAGGGGGAUUAGGACAUUCAGGGGCCGUGCAAAGAUGUGAAAAGGGAUACAUGUUAGGUGGGACGUAAGUCUAAGGUUGUAAUUGCCAAAGAGUCUUGGGUUUCAUCUUAAGCAGUGUGGAUAUUAUUUUGUUAGCCAGUGGUUAUCUGAACCAGCAUCAUCAGAAUUUUCUGGGAAUUUGUUGGAUGUGCACAUUCUCAGACCUCCUCACAGACCUACUAAUUCUGAAAUCUAGGAAUGGAACCCAUCAACCUGUAGUUUAGCAAGCCCUCCAGCUGAUUCUGAUUUACAAUAAAGUUUGAGAACCACUGUCAUCAGUAUCAGAGGCCAUAUCACCAAUGGCAGUUAUAAAAAAAGAAAAGAAAAAGAAACAUCAAAAUGUAGGAAAAACACCCUCUUUUAUCUUCAGCAGAGUGAAUGAGAAGGCUAGAUUUGCAAAUGGAAAGAUGACUUAUGCAUUCACACAGAAGAUGGAUAGGAGAAAGGAAAGGCUGGUAACAGGAAAAUCAUUAGGCAGCUCCCAGAGAAGUACCCCAGGGAAGGACUAAGACCUGAGAAGUGGCAGGGAAGUUGAGCAGAGGGGUUGGACUUUGAGAAUGAAUGACAGGCAGAGGCCAUUCCACUAUACAGCACCUUUAAAGGUACUUUUACAUUUGCACUCAUAGAACAUUAGCACUUACAAGAUUCUUAGAGAUUUUUGAACACUUCCUUUUUGCAAAUGUGUGAACAGUCAGUUCCAAAGAGGUUAAGGAAUUUAAGGACACAACUAGUGGCAGAUUGAUUGGGGGUGGGAGCAUACAAAGUGCUGAUUUCAGAGAAAGUCAGAGGAGGGUUGUCAGGAUUUCCAUGUAUUUCCUAAAACAAAGCCUUCUAUUUUUUUUUUUUUCUCUUCUUACUAGUAACUACUAUCCCAGAAUAGCAAAAGAUAGCUUUGCCCCUCUUUGUACCCUUUACAUGACAUAGUGCAAUUUUCAGGGGCAAUGACUAAAUAUUAAGAUAGCCUAGUACGCUUCAGGCAAACUACUGUCAAAACCCUUAAAUCUAAGCAACAAUGCAGCUGUAUUAAGGGAACAAAGCAGAGUAGUACAGGGGAGGAGUUGGGGUUGGGUUGAGAUUGGAAUUAGAGGAAUAUUUCUUUUUUUUUUUUUUAUUUUAUUUUCCCACUGUACAGCAAGGGGGUCAGGUUAUCCUUACAUGUAUACAUUACCAUUACAGUUUUUCCCCCACCCUUUCUUCUGUUGCAACAUGAGUAUCUAGACAUAUUCUCAAUGCUAUUCAGCAGGAUCUCCUUGUAAAUCUAUUCUAAGUUGUGUCUGAUAAGCCCAAGCUCCUGAUCCCUCCCACUCCCUCCCCCUCCCAUCAGGCAGCCACAAGUCUCUAGAGGAAUAUUUCUUAGGAGCUGCAGAGUCUCCUCCAGGCAGGUAUGUACUCCAGGGAACACUUGAUGCCCACAGACUUUUGCAGUGACUGCAGUCUGUCACCAUUUCUCAGUGACUCCAGGCUGAAACCAAAUCCACUGUUAGUUCAUCCGCCAUCAGUCUGGAGCCAAGCCUAGAAAUAGUUCCACUGCUGCUUUAAUGGCAUUUGGGACAGGAGCAAAUGUUCUACACAGUGGCGCCUGUUGGCUCUGAUCAGAUAAAUUAAGGAGUUGAGCGUGUUUCCACCAUUUGGUUUAGUUUUAUUUUAGUCCCCAAGUCCCUUGGCUUCCAUUUUAAGACCUGGCACUUUCUCACUGGCGAAGCCCAUCCUGCCUUAUCACUGAGAGAAGCUUCCUCAAGUAGAAGCACUGCAUGCCAUAUCCGUCCUGAGGGACAGCCAGGGUCCAGCAAACCAAUUGUGCACCUGUUCUGUAACAUCACAGAGGCCAUCUCUUUGUCUUGACAUGCUUAAAAUCAUCACCCUUCAAAAAUAAACCAAUGAAGUCUUCUUGAGAGAGAACACUAGGUGAAUUUUUUUAAAGGGCAUUUCUCAAGAUUGGGAGGUAGAGUUUGGGCAAGUAAAUUCUGGCUCUGUUUAUAGAAAGAGCACAUGGUAAGAAUUUAAGAAUACCUAAUUUCAUUUUUAAAGAGAUUUACUACUCAAAUCACAAUUUUCCCUCCAUUGCAGGUGAAUCACAUUAUCUUGAUGAUAUUCUACUCUUUUCUACCUACAAAAACUGCAAUUUUAUAUAGUUCACAUAAAUAUGAAUUUGUAUCUUCAGAUCAUUGGUUCAGCUUUCUCUUUUUAUGUCUCUGUGUAGCUACUUCUUAGAAUUCCUAAUAGCAGGAAGAACCCCAUAACCAUGAAAAACUGCAAAUGACAUUACCCUUGUAUUAUAAGAAUCUUCUGUAGUCAUAGUUGAUUUAGUGGGAACAUUAAACAGCUUCUCUUUUUAAGUUCAUAUACUGCCCUCAAAAUAUAUGGAAAAAAUAUAGGUCGGUGAAAAAGGAGUAAAUGAAAGCAAUGCUAAUUGCCAUGAACUUUGUUUUUCCCCUCUUCCUAUCAGCCUAGUUAGCUGUAAACUUCAAACCCAUCCUAAGAAAAAUGACUGAGAAAAAUCUUAGGCCAAUCAAGUCAUUUCAUCAAUGAUAAGUCUAUCUUUUAUUUUAGAGAUGAAAUGUUUGCAUUGGAACAGCAUUCACAUUUCUAGCAGAAUCCUGGUAUAAUGGCUGAAAAGAUUUGAAUCCUAGUUCUAAGACGUAAAAGCUGAGUGAUCUGGGGAAAACUGCUUAACAUUUUUGAGACUUCAGAUUCCCCAAGUGCAAAAUGGGGACAGCGAUACUGCUCUCCAAUGUACAGUGUGUUUGCCAGGUUUUCACAAGAUAAUGUUCAUGAAGUUCUAUGAACAACAAUGCC
rnacentral:lncRNA from 1 species